AAGCGACAUCAGUCAGUUAAAGUACAGAGGUUGGGGAAAAACGUCGUCGCAUCGCUCGCAUCGCGAUAAGCUUGGUUUAUAAAUUCCUGCAUCGAUGCACGACAGAUAUUUUUAACUGGACGAUAGGUCCUCUUGAAGACAACGUUUGAAAUAUCUGAACUCGAGAAGCAGACAUUCUCAGGCUUUUAAAAGAAUCAGUUUUUCAACCGUAAUCUAUUCAUCUUUGUGCUUUUUACUAAUCAAAGAACUUCUGAUCAGAUAUGGUCCAUGUAUUCAAUUACAAUGACAUAUCAAUAUAAACACAUGCACGUUGUGUAUCACAUGUAUUAGCACGUGUAUCCUGUGAUAACAAUUAAUCAACAAUUCACAAAUAAUUGGCUUAGGGUCGUGAAUUCCUCCGUCAACGUGCAAUCGAUCGCAAUCUGGUCGACAGUAGACACUCGUAAAAAUGCGGAAACGUUAGUGAACGCUGGACAGUCUGCUGCAAGGUCGGCGACGACGUUUCUCACACGAAGUUCUUGAACCUGAGCGCUGCCGUAAGGAACUACUGUCACUCGUUACCUACCGACACCGAGCCUCUUCGAAUCCAUCGUAAAAAGGAACGAGGAUGGAUCACUCGUGGACCAGGGGACAUUGUUACAGCGUCGAGUUUUUUUACAAGUUUAUGGCAGAGAAAAGAGCACGGAUCUCAUUAUCCUGAUGUAUCUUCGCAGACAUCUAAAUGCUGGAAAUAUAGUCAACAGGUCGUAGAAAACGGCAGUGAAGAGCGGGAAAGUAUUGAAUUUCGAAAUCGAGAGGCAAACUGGAAACUCGGUUACAAGGGCAAUUCAGCCAGUUGCUUCGUGAAAGCGGCACAAUUCCAAAGAAUUUCGCUGAGCAGAAUCGCGCCAAAAGGAGGAAUUCUUAGCGAAAAGGCGGCGGUGAGGGAAACGGAGGUUAGAAGUUGCCCGUUCACGUCUCUUCGUUAACCCGGAUAUCCGCUGUAUAUCCCUUUCUACCACCUGCGAUAAUUAGCCCGAACAGAGACGUUUUUCCAUCCGAAAGACAACGUGACUACAUUGUUUGCACCAGAAGCUGCUUUAAGACAUCCGGUGCAACCGCCGGCAAGAGGUUGCUCGUCUGGAGCGCGUACAAGUCGUCCGUUAAACUGCAAAACUUUGAAUAUGCUAAUUUCACGGCUAAUUCUAAUGUUUCCGGGAAACGAGGCCACGGAUGAAGAAGUGGCUGGUGCAGGAGGCGAAACGGGAGGGAUGAAGCGAAGUCAAGACCCAGGGGUUGCGCUGCAUGGCCAGCUAAUUACCUUUCGUUCGAGUGUGUAACGAAGUAUUAAAGAACGAGCGAGCAAAUGAUCGCUAAAUUCUCGAGAAACGCUUAAUGAUCCCUUUUCUAUGCCUCAGGGAUAGAUGAUUGCUUCUGCGUACCUAAACAGACUGAAAGCUUCGCUCCCUUUCUUCCAAGAGGUUUUCAUUCCGGUUCAAAGGACCAGGAAGGAAGGGAGAAGUUUCAGAAGGCCAGAUGUUCCGGUAUUGGUUGAUUUAUUGAAAGGGAAGCUGCUGGGCCAGGUUUGAUUUCAAUCCCGCAAUCUGACGCUGCCGAUUGACUACGAUAAAAGAAGAUAAUACCAGAUCUCGUGGAAAAUUCUGCUCCGUUUCUUACAUCGCUGAUUUUUCGAUACCGUGCCACGUGUAUCGUUGAUUUUGAUUAAUAAAAUUCGCACACUCAUUGA